GGCGAACGCUGGCGGCGUGCUUAACACAUGCAAGUCGAACGGAAAGGCCCUGCUUUUGUGGGGUGCUCGAGUGGCGAACGGGUGAGUAACACGUGAGUAACCUGCCCUUGACUUUGGGAUAACUUCAGGAAACUGGGGCUAAUACCGGAUAGGAGCUCCUGCUGCAUGGUGGGGGUUGGAAAGUUUCGGCGGUUGGGGAUGGACUCGCGGCUUAUCAGCUUGUUGGUGGGGUAGUGGCUUACCAAGGCUUUGACGGUAGCCGGCCUGAGAGGGUGACCGGCCACAUUGGGACUGAGAUACGGCCCAGACUCCUACGGGAGGCAGCAGUGGGGAAUAUUGCACAAUGGGCGGAAGCCUGAUGCAGCAACGCCGCGUGCGGGAUGACGGCCUUCGGGUUGUAAACCGCUUUCGCCUGUGACGAAGCGUGAGUGACGGUAAUGGGUAAAGAAGCACCGGCUAACUACGUG
rnacentral:rRNA from 1 species